AUUGAACGCUGGCGGCAGGCCUAACACAUGCAAGUCGAACGAGUGGCGGACGGGUGAGUAGUGUCUGGGCACCUGCCUGAUGGAGGGGGAUAACUACUGGAAACGGUAGCUAAUACCGCAUACCAUCCGGUGUGCUCAGAUGGGAUUAGCUUGUUGGGGGGGUAACGGCUCACCAAGGCGACGAUCCCUAGCUGGUCUUAGAGGAUGACCAGCAACACUGGAACUGAGACAUGGUCCAGACUCCUACGGGAGGCAGCAGUGGGGAAUAUUGCACAAUGGGCGAAAGCCUGAUGCAGCCACGCCGCGUGUAUGAAGAAGGCCUUCGGGUUGUAAAGUACUUUCAGCGGGGAGGCGUUACCCGCAGAAGAAGCCCCGGCUAACUCCGUGCCAGCAGCCGCGGUAAUAC
rnacentral:rRNA from 1 species